GGUUGUGAUCAUACCAGCACAAAUGCACCGGAUCUCAUCAGAACUCCGCAGUUAAGCGUGUUUGGGCGAGAGUAGUACUAUGAUGGGUGACCCCCUGGGAAGUCCUCAUGUUGCAACCCU
rnacentral:rRNA from 1 species